rnacentral:rRNA from 1 species
CCUACGGGUGGCAGCAGUGGGGGAUAUUGGACAAUGGGGGGAACCCUGAUCCAGCGACGCCGCGUGAGUGAAGAAGUAUUUCGGUAUGUAAAGCUCUGUCAGCAGGGAAGAAAGAAAUGACGGUACCUGACCAAGAAGACCCGGCUAACUACGUGCCAGCAGCCGCGGUAAUACGUAGGGGGCAAGCGUUAUCCGGAAUUACUGGGUGUAAAGGGAGCGUAGGUGGUUAAGUAAGUCUGGAGUGAAAGGCCGGGGCCAAACCCCGGAACUGCUCUUGAUACUAUUGAACUUGAGUGCAGGUGAGGUAGGCGGAAUGCCUGGUGUAGCGGUGAAAUGCGUAGAUAUUAGGCGGAACACCAGUGGCGAAGGCGGCUUACUGGACUGUAACUGACGUUGAGGCACGAAAGCGUGGGGAGCAAACAGGAUUAGAUACCCUUGUAGUC